rnacentral:rRNA from 1 species
UACAGAGGUCUCAACCGUUGUUCGGAUUCAUUGGGCGUAAAGGGUGCGUAGGCGGUCGUGCAAGUCGGAUGUGAAACCUCAGGGCUCAACCCUGAAACUGCAUUCGAUACUGCGUGGCUAGAGUGCUGGAGAGGAGACUGGAAUUUACGGUGUAGCAGUGAAAUGCGUAGAUAUCGUAAGGAAGACCAGUGGCGAAGGCGAGUCUCUGGACAGCAACUGACGCUGAGGCACGAAGGCCAGGGGAGCAAACGGG